UACGGGGGGAGCAAGCGUUGUUCGGAUUUACUGGGCGUAAAGGGCGCGUAGGCGGCGCAACAAGUCACUUGUGAAAUCUCCGGGCUUAACUCGGAGCGGCCAAGUGAUACUGUCGUGCUAGAGUGCGGAAGGGGCUACUGGAAUUCCGGGUGUAGCGGUGAAAUGCGUAGAUAUCCGGAGGAACACCGGUGGCGAAGGCGGCUUCCUGGACCGACACUGACGCUGAGGCGCGAAAGCUAGGGGAGCAAACGGG
rnacentral:rRNA from 1 species